ensembl:lncRNA
CACAGCACUCACACACAGUCCCGGCUGCACCUCUGCCUGCUUCGGACCGGAGAUACCCAAAAAACCAGACCCAAACUCAUUUCUUCUUGGAGUGAUUAUCAGAAUGGAGUGAUAUAGUUGCAUUUCACGUUGUCCUGCGUAAUCCAAGAAAUCAUUUGGACUGUCUGGAGUGGCAUCAGACUGGUUUUAGAAGACCCAAGCCCCCUACCAAGACUGUAACCUAAUCCAAGAUGUUUCCACCGCGCCACCGCACAAACGCUAGCAGCUGGACCAGAGACCUAUUUCUGAGCUGAUGCGGAUUGGAGAGCCAGCCGAGGGAAACCAGGCGACCUCACUACAUUCCAAAAGGCCCGGCCGCGUCCAACUACACAACUGCAUAGUGUUCUAAGCAAUUUAUGCGCGUUUAAUUCGGCCAGCUAUGCAGAACGGCAAGCUACAAAGACCAGGGCAGAGCUUGGCUUGCACAUGAUAGACAUAGAUGUUAAAUUGUCAGGUAUUUGGGAGUGCUGGAGAAGUUACACGCUUUUUGGGAUGCUGGAAUAAGUCUUGACAGCAGAUUUUUGUCGACAUAAAAUAAGACCGCAAGACUAUUCAGAAUUGGAAUUUGAAUAGACGCCAUUAGCAAAUCGCAAAGUACCAUAAUUUCCUUCAUAA